rnacentral:rRNA from 1 species
AGUGAACGCUGGCGGUAGGCCUAACACAUGCAAGUCGAACGGCAGCACAGUAAGAGCUUGCUCUUACGGGUGGCGAGUGGCGGACGGGUGAGGAAUACAUCGGAAUCUACUUUUUCGUGGGGGAUAACGUAGGGAAACUUACGCUAAUACCGCAUACGACCUACGGUUGAAAGCAGGGGAUCUUCGGACCUUGCGCGAUUGAAUUAGCCGAUGUCGGAUUAGCUAGUUGGCGGGGUAAAGGCCCACCAAGGCGACGAUCCGUAGCUGGUCUGAGAGGAUGAUCAGCCACACUGGAACUGAGACACGGUCCAGACUCCUACGGGAGGCAGCAGUGGGGAAUAUUAGACAAUGGGCGCAAGCCUGAUCCAGCCAUACCGCGUGGGUGAAGAAGGCCUUCGGGUUGUAAAGCCCUUUUGUUGGGAAAGAAAAGCAGCAGGUUAAUACCCCGCUGUUCUGACGGUACCCAAAGAAUAAGCACCGGCUAACUUCGUG